rnacentral:rRNA from 1 species
CCUACGGGUGGCUGCAGUGGGGAAUAUUGGACAAUGGGGGGAACCCUGAUCCAGCCAUGCCGCGUGUGUGAAGAAGGCCCUCGGGAUGUAAAGCACUUUCAGUGAGGAAGAACGCCUGGUGGUUAAUACCCAUCAGGAAAGACAUCACUCACAGAAGAAGCACCGGCUAACUCCGUGCCAGCAGCCGCGGUAAUACGGAGGGUGCGAGCGUUAAUCGGAAUUACUGGGCGUAAAGCGCGCGUAGGUGGCUUGAUAAGCCGGUUGUGAAAGCCCCGGGCUCAACCUGGGAACGGCAUCCGGAACUGUCAAGCUAGAGUGCAGGAGAGGAAGGUAGAAUUCCCGGUGUAGCGGUGAAAUGCGUAGAGAUCGGGAGGAAUACCAGUGGCGAAGGCGGCCUUCUGGACUGACACUGACACUGAGGUGCGAAAGCGUGGGUAGCAAACAGGAUUAGAUACCCGAGUAGUC